GUUGGCUUGGAAGCAGCCAUUCAUUUAAAGAGUGCGUAACAGCUCACUAGUCGAGGAGUUUGGCGUGGAUAAUAAUCGGGUAUUAAGCUGUCUACCGAAGCAGUGGGAUCAUAUAAUGAUCGGUAGGGGAGCAUUCCACUCGGCGUCGAAGGCGUACCGUGAGGUAUUCUGGAGCGUGUGGAAAAGCAAAUGUAGGUAUAAGUAACGAUAAAGGGGGUGGGAAACCCCCUCGCCGCAAGACUCAGGUUUCCUGAUCAACGCUAAUCGGAUCAGGGUCAGUCGGGUCCUAAGGCUCAGCCGAACGGCGAGGCCGAUGGCAGAACCGGUUAAUAUUCCGGUACUACCUUUUUAGGUGAUGCGAAGACGCAGGAGUGACAGUACCGCCGGCUGACGGAAUAGCCGGUUAAAGAGUGUAGACGUUGAUUACGGCAGGCAAAUCCACCGUAAGAGUCGACCUUGAUAGUAUACCGCGUCCUUCGGGACAAGGUAAUAGUGUACGUAAUCAUACUGCCUAGAAAAUCCGCUAAACAUAACUUCAAAGGUACCCGUACCGCAAACGGACACACGUAGUCGGGUUGAAUAUACUAAGGCGCUUGAGUGAUUCACGGUUAAGGAACUAGGCAAAUUAACCCUGUAACUUCGGGAUAAAGGGUCCCUACCCAGUGAUGGGAGGGCGCAGAGAAUAGGUCCAGGCAACUGUUUAACAAAAACACAGGGCUGUGCCAAGUCGAAAGACCAUGUAUACAGCCUGACACCUGCCCGGUGCUGGAAGGUUAAGAGGAGAUGUCAUCGCAAGAGAAGCAUUGAAUUGAAGCCCCAGUAAACGGCGGCCGUAACUAUAACGGUCCUAAGGUAGCGAAAUUCCUUGUCGGGUAAGUUCCGACCUGCACGAAUGGUGUAAUGAUCUGGACACUGUCUCAACCGUGAGCUCAGUGAAAUUGUAGUAUCGGUGAAGAUGCCGAUUACCCGCGAUGGGACGAAAAGACCCCGUGAACCUUUACUAUAGCUUAUCAUUGAAUUUGGGCACGUGAUGUGUAGGAUAGGUCGGAGGCUUUGAAGCAGGUACGCCAGUAUUUGUGGAGCCGCUGUUGAAAUACGACCCUUCAUUUGUUUGAGUUCUAACCCGCUGCUGCGGGGACACUGAUUGGUGGGUAGUUUGACUGGGGUGGUCGCCUCCAAAAGUGUAACGGAGGCUUCUAAAGGUGCCCUCAGACCGAUCGGUAACCGGUCUUAGAGUGUAAUGGCAUAAGGGCGCUUGACUGGGAGACUUACAAGUCGAGCAGGUAGGAAACUAGAGCAUAGUGAUCCGGUGUUUCCGUAUGGAAGGGACAUCGC
rnacentral:rRNA from 1 species